GUAAAAGAUAUAAAAGAGGAGGAGGAGAAGAGAAAAGAAAGGGACAGAGGUGAAUAAGGGAGCAGGGAGCACGGAGUGAGUACGUACAGAAUGGACGUAUAAUGUCUUGGGCGUAUCAAGAGACACGGUGUACUAUCUCGCGCCAAGUUCAUGCGCAGCAACAGCGAGACACCCCGUGUGUGUGUAUCUAUAUUAAUACUGACAAUGAGAUACGCGAGUCGGCUAGUUGCGAGUACCUUUUAGAUUAUCAGACUUCAAUAACGGUUGAACCGAUCGAAUUCUUGAUAGGCUUAAUCGGUAGCUUGGGUCUUAAUUAUAUAAGAUAAAUGUCUUUAUUAUUAUUCUAUAUAUAAGUAUCACGAACAGAAUUAUUAUGCUGCAAAGUCUCAAUGUACAAAUUUUCCUUUGAAAAAUGCUUUCCAAAUUUUUUAAAACUGAAAAUUGUAAUAUAAGAUGACGUUAGCAAUCCUCGCAGCCAAUGGUAUUUAAUUAUUGUUGUUAUGUUAUAUUAUAAUUACCGGUCGUCGUCGAUAAUUUAAUACGUCAAAUUACAAUAUAUUAAUGUUUGAUAAUCGAUUCGGUGUUAUUAAUUCGAUGUCAUUAAUUAUUGUCAUCAUUAAUUCGAAGAAAUCUGUCCUUGAAUCUAUCCGUAUCCGUAUCCAUUGUAUUAUCUAAUACUAACUUAUGCUAAUAAUUAACAGUUCCUCAAGCUCAACCUUACACUAACUCUAUCUACUUUCCUACCUAAUACACACACGCGCGCGCACGCAAAAUUUUCCUACUCUCUAUCUUAACUUAUUAAUUAUAAUAUUGUGUGCGUGUGUACGGAAAAAAUAUAUUUUCAAUAAAUGAAAGUACAAG